rnacentral:misc_RNA from 1 species
CAGGUGUCAGGAAGAGAGAAACAAUUUUAGACAAACCAAUUCUCUGUUCGUCUCUCUAUUCACGUGUUUCUCUCGUAUUCUUUAAAUGCCUGAUUGUGAAGAACAUGUCCCUAACACUCCUCUUCCUCUUCCUCUUCAGUAUUAUUCAUGCAGUAAGCACAGGAGAAGAAGAAAAGGAGAAAAACUACACAGUUCUGGUUCUCUCUCCAGAUAGCUUUGGUUAUAACUAUCUCUCUAAGUACGAUUUUAAACACAGAGAUCAGUUGUUUCUUCAUGGCAGUUAUCCCAAAGUGUUCAGAAACCAGUUAAUCCCCAAGACACUUCCAUUGCGACGGGAGUUUACGAGGAGACCCAUGGCGAAUUUCAUUUACGACCUAGACUUGAUCAGGACUCUGACUUUGGACGACGAGGGGUUCUUUACCCAGAAUCUAGUCUCGCUCCCAUUUAGACCCUGAAUGAAGAGCACGAAAGCCACACAGACUGCCUGAUGUGGCCUGGCUGUGACAAGACUUCCACGGAAGAAACGAUACCUACUGGACCCCUUUCCACGAAGAUGCAACCUUCAAGGGAAGGAUCGACGAGGCGGUGGAGUGGAUGACAGACAUGAAAUCCUCGGCCAAUCUUGUGUCCCUCUAUGUGCAGGACCCUGAUACUGAUGGCCAUGCCUAUGGGCCGAACUCUUCUUAUGUUGUGGAGGAGUUGAGGAAGAUCGACAAUGACAUUAGCUACCUCUAUAAAAUGCUGACCGUCUUCAACUUGCUCGACACAACCGAUGUCACCGUGCAGAGUGACCAUGGCAUGAUGGCCGUGCCUGAAGAGAGCAUCAUCAACCUUGGCCAGAUUGUCGAGCCCAAGCUGUACCACACCAGCGGAGGAUCGGUAUUUAUGCACAUUUGACCCAAUGGAGGUAGAGUGUGACUGUUUGUAUUUGUUUUUUUAACCCUUCUGCUUCAGGUAUUUUCAAGGGGUUGGAUCAAUUUCAUACUGCAUUUUUCCUCUUUGGAAAUUGCAAGCUAAUUAUUCCUUCAUUGCUGAUGACCUGCUAUACCAAAUAUUAAUUAGUAUCACUUUUUUAGUAUAUCUUAUAUAGAUUCAUAUUUCAUACCAUAAGUCUAGAAAAUAAUAGAAAACACACACCUUUAGCUACCCAGCCCUUUUCAUAAGGGUAUAUUGACUUGGGUGAUAUUUUUCUUUUC